GACGAACGCUGGCGGCGUGCUUAAUACAUGCAAGUCGAGCGAGGUCCAUCUGGUGGCAACACCAGUGAAGGCCGAGCGGCGAACGGGUGAGUAACACGUGAGCAACCUGCCCCGAAGUCUGGAAUAACAUCGGGAAACCGGUGCUAAUACCGGAUCGCCCCACCUGACCGCAUGAUCGGGUGAGGAAAGAUUUAUCGCUUCGGGAGGGGCUCGCGGCCUAUCAGCAGUUGGUGGGGUAACGGCCUACCAAGGCGUCGACGGGCAGCUGGUCUGAGAGGACGACCAGCCACACUGGGACUGAGACACGGCCCAGACUCCUACGGGAGGCAGCAGUAGGGAAUCUUGCGCAAUGGGCGAAAGCCUGACGCAGCAACGCCGCGUGGGGGAUGACGGCC
rnacentral:rRNA from 1 species